CAUGUGGUUGCUGGGGAUUGAACU
rnacentral:piRNA from 1 species